AUUCCAGCUCCAAUAGCGUAUAUUAAAGUUGUUGCGGUUAAAAAGCUCGUAGUUGGAUCUCGGCGGGCAGGGGGUGGUUCGCUCUUCAGCGCUACUGCCCCGCUUUGCCCGUGUGAUUGGCGGAGGUUUCGGGGUGCUCUUCGUUGAGUGACUCGGAGCGCCGUCAGGUUUACUUUGAAAAAAUUAGAGUGCUCAAAGCAGGCUUUUCACGCUUGAAUAUUCGUGCAUGGAAUAAUGGAAUAGGAACUCGUUUCUAUUUUGUUGGUUUUCGGAAAUCGAGAUAAUGAUUAACAGGGACAAUUGGGGGCAUUAGUAUUCAGACAACAGAGGUGAAAUUCUUGGACCGUCUGAAGACUGACUACUGCGAAAGCAUUUGCCAAGAGUGUUUUCAUCG
rnacentral:rRNA from 1 species